GUGCUCGCUUCGGCAGCACAUAUACUAAAAUUGGAACGAUACAGAGAAGAUUAGCAUGGCCCCUGCACAAGAAUGACAUGCAAAUUCGUGAAGCAUUUCAUAUUUUU
rnacentral:snRNA from 1 species